AGAGUGAACGCUGGCGGUAGGCCUAACACAUGCAAGUCGAACGGCAGCACAGUGGUAGCAAUACCAUGGGUGGCGAGUGGCGGACGGGUGAGGAAUACAUCGGAAUCUACCUUUUCGUGGGGGAUAACGUAGGGAAACUUACGCUAAUACCGCAUACGCCCUUCGGGGGAAAGCCGGGGAUCGCAAGACCUGGCGCGGAUAGAUGAGCCGAUGUCGGAUUAGCUAGUUGGUGAGGUAAUGGCUCACCAAGG
rnacentral:rRNA from 1 species